rnacentral:rRNA from 1 species
UAACGGCUCACCACGGCGACGAUCGAUAGCUGGUCUGAGAGGAUGGCCAGCAACAUUGCUACUGAGACACGGCCCAAACUCCUACGGGAGGCAGCAGUGGGGAAUAUUGAACAAUGGCCGCAAGCAUGAUCCAGCGAUGCGGCGUGAGUGAUGAAGGCCUUAGGGUUGUAAAGCUCUUUCGACGGCGACGAUAAUGACGGUCCCCGUAGAAGAAGCCCCGGCUAACUUCGUGCCAGCAGCGGCGGUAAUACGAAGGGGGCUAGCGUUGUUCGGAAUACUGGGGCGUAAAGCGCACGUCGGCGGUCAUUUUAAAGUUGGAGGUGAACAGCCUUGGGCCUCAAACCCAAAAUAUUUGGAUACUGGUUGUCCUCGAGACCGGAAGAGGUUGAGUGGUUACUUCCUGAGUGUAGAGAUGAUAAGU